GUGAUGGCAUGCGAAUCUCGAAAGCCUAUCUCAGUUCGGAUUGGAGGCUGAAACCCGCCUCCAUGAAGUUGGAUUCGCUAGUAAUCGCGCAUCAGCCAUGGCGCGGUGAAUACGUUCCCGGGCCUUGUACACACCGCCCGUCAAGCCAUGGGAGCCGGGGGUGCCUGAAGUUCGUUACCGCAAGGAUCGACCUAGGGCAAAACUGGUGACUGGGGCUAAGUCGUAACAAGGUAAC
rnacentral:rRNA from 1 species